AGAAGACCUCCCGUAGAUUGAAGCGGUUCAUGCAAAUUCAGGUUGCAAAAAAGCGGAAUGACGUGAGAACCACAUCACCCCGC
rnacentral:sRNA from 1 species